rnacentral:rRNA from 1 species
UGGCUCAGAACGAACGCUGGCGGCAGGCCUAACACAUGCAAGUCGAGCGAGGUAGCAAUACCUAGCGGCGGACGGGUUAGUAACGCGUGGGAACGUGCCCAAAGGUACGGAAUAGCCUCGGGAAACUGAGAGUAAUACCGUAUGUGCCCUUCGGGGGAAAGAUUUAUCGCCAAAGGAUUAGCCCGCGUUGGAUUAGAUAGUUGGUGGGGUAAUGGCCUACCAAGUCUACGAUCCAUAGCUGGUUUGAGAGGAUGAUCAGCAACACUGGGACUGAGACACGGCCCAGACUCCUACGGGAGGCAGCAGUGGGGAAUCUUAGACAAUGGGCGCAAGCCUGAUCUAGCCAUGCCGCGUGGACGAUGAAGGCCUUAGGGUUGUAAAGUCCUUUCAGAUGGGAAGAUAAUGACGGUACCAUCAGAAGAAGCCCCGGCUAACUCCGUG